UUGGAUUUAACUUAGUGGCGGACGGGUGAGUAACGCGUGAGUAACCUGCCUUUCAGAGGGGGAUAACGUUCUGAAAAGAACGCUAAUACCGCAUAACAUCAAUUUAUCGCAUGAUAGGUUGAUCAAAGGAGCAAUCCGCUGGAAGAUGGACUCGCGUCCGAUUAGCCAGUUGGCGGGGUAACGGCCCACCAAAGCGACGAUCGGUAGCCGGACUGAGAGGUUGAACGGCCACAUUGGGACUGAGACACGGCCCAGACUCCUACGGGAGGCAGCAGUGGGGGAUAUUGCACAAUGGGGGAAACCCUGAUGCAGCAACGCCGCGUGAGGGAAGAAGGUUUUCGGAUUGUAAACCUCUGUUCUUAGUGACGAUAAUGACGGUAGCUAAGGAGAAAGCUCCGGCUAACUACGUGCCAGCAGCCGCGGUAAUACGUAGGGAGCGAGCGUUGUCCGGAUUUACUGGGUGUAAAGGGUGCGUAGGCGGCGAGGCAAGUCAGGCGUGAAAUCUAUGGGCUUAACCCAUAAACUGCGCUUGAAACUGUCUUGCUUGAGUGAAGUAGAGGUAGGCGGAAUUCCCGGUGUAGCGGUGAAAUGCGUAGAGAUCGGGAGGAACACCAGUGGCGAAGGCGGCCUACUGGGCUUUAACUGACGCUGAAGCACGAAAGCAUGGGUAGCAAACAGG
rnacentral:rRNA from 1 species